rnacentral:rRNA from 1 species
AGCGAACGCUGGCGGCGUACUUAACACAUGCAAGUCGAACGGGGAUCGACACGUGAGCAAUCACGUGGCGGUCUUAGUGGCGUACGGGUGAGUAACACGUGGGCAACCUGCCCUUGAGUCUGGGAUAACCUCCCGAAAGGGAGGCUAAUACCGGAUACGGUCCUCGGGUCGCGAGAUCUGAGGAAGAAAGGUGGCGCAAGCUACCGCUCUUGGAGGGACUCGCGGCCUAUCAGCAGUUGGUGAGGUAACGGCUCACCAAGGCUAUGACGGGUAGCUGGUCUGAGAGGACGACCAGCCACACGGGGGACUGAGACAC